rnacentral:rRNA from 1 species
GAAAGACCUCAGUCACGCUUCAGACCUCUGAUCAGGGAAGGCUACCCGCUGAGUUUAAGCAUAUCAAUAAGCGGAGGAAAGGGCGAAUUCG